GUCUGGCCGCCGCUGAGUUUAAACUCAGCAUUCCAUCUUUGCACUAGCGCUCAAGACUCCACUAUUUCAAUAAAUUUAAGCAUAGCCUUUAUGCGUGUGCAGAUACAGUUACUCUCAUGCUUAAAGCUGCAGAAAAAAAACUAUGAAAACACUGAGAAGAUAAGGAAGCCAUAGAAAUGCUGUAAGAAAAAACUACGGAUGCCAUUGAUGUAAUUCGGCAGAGAAGAAAAAAAAUUGAUU
rnacentral:misc_RNA from 1 species